rnacentral:rRNA from 1 species
AACGCGAAGAACCUUACCUACCCUUGACAUCUAUAGAAUUUUGCAGAGAUGCAGAAGUGCCGAAAGGAACUGUAAGACAGGUGCUGCAUGGCUGUCGUCAGCUCGUGUUGUGAGAUGUUGGGUUAAGUCCCGUAACGAGCGCAACCCUUAUCCUUAGUUACCAGCACGUAAUGGUGGGGACUCUAAGGAGACUGCUGGUGAAGAACCGGAGGAAGGCGGGGACGACGUCAAGUCAUCAUGGCCUUUAUGGGUAGGGCUACACACGUGCUACAAUGGUCAGUACAGAGGGUUGCCAACCUGCGAAGGGGAGCCAAUCUCAGAAAGCUGAUCGUAGUCCGGAUUGAAGUCUGCAACUCGACUUCAUGAAGUCGGAAUCGCUAGUAAUCGCGAAUCAGAAUGUCGCGGUGAAUACGUUCCCGGGCCUUGUACACACCGGUAUCUC